UGAGGCAUAUUGGACAAUGGGCGCAAGCCUGAUCCAGCCAUGCCGCGUGCAGGAAGAAGCAUCUAUGGUGUGUAAACUGCUUUUGUACGGGAAGAAACACUCCUUCGCGAAGGAGCUUGCCGGUACCGUAAGAAUAAGGAUCGGCUAACCCCGUGCCAGCAGCCGCGGUAAUACGGAGGAUCCAAGCGUUAUCCGGAAUCAUUGGGUUUCAAGUGUCCUUAGGCGGUUUAGUAAGUCAGUGGUGUAAGCCCAUCGCUCAACGAUGGAACGGCCAUUGAUACUGCUAGACUUGAAUUAUUAGGAAGUAACUAGAAUAUGUAGUGUAGCGGUGAGAUGCUUAGAUAUUACAUGGAAUACCAAUAGCGAAGGAAGGUUACUAAUAAUGGAUUGACGCUGAUGAACGAAAGCGUGGAGAGCGUACA
rnacentral:rRNA from 1 species